rnacentral:lncRNA from 1 species
GUUUGUUUAAUCGACUUUCAAUCUUGAAAGUUUCAAUGAGCAACAAAUGUGAGGACUUAGCGUCCUUGUUUCUUUUAGAUACCUCAACUUCACAAAGCUCAGUACAAAUAACAGUACAUUGCCAUCUCUUCUGCAUGCCCUACCAGACAACUUCCCGUCAGAUUCACCACACUUUAGUCCGCUGUUAAAGAAGAUUAACAAAAAUACAGUGAC